rnacentral:lncRNA from 1 species
AAAAGACACAAUCCAGAAAGUAACUUGAGGCACCAACAAGUUAAAGCACCAAUAAUUUUUAGUAUGAAAAUGAAAAACUGUUGGAAUUGCCCAAAGGCCUUGCACCAGGAGCAAAUACUUUGCUCCUAAAGCAGACAUUCAGAUCUGGAAAAUCUGAAAGAGAACAUGGGCAUGAUUCCCUUCAUUUUAAAAAUCAUCUUGAAUCCUGAGGCACAUUUGAAAUGCAAGAUAUGUGAGGUGAAUGGCAGAAAAGAAAAAUACCAGAAGACUGAAUUUCCAAUAAAUCAAAGCAACCGAAUUUCAAUUUACAAUAGUGGAACUCAGGACAUAUUUUUUCCACCAAAACAUCCAACCAAGUAUGAGUGAGUGGCCUGGCCUUAACACAUUGUUUGUUUGAACAACAAUUUGAAGGAAAGUCGAUAUGUUGAUAAUAUAAUAUAGAGUAACUUCAGAAGGCCUUAUAAAGAAUGUGCAGUAGGAAGAAGAAAAUCUGGAACCCUGAGUUAGCCUGGUGGGAAAGUCAGCCUCAGCUGAAGCCUCAACAGGCAGCUUGGAUGCUUCUUGACAUCUACAUUAAGGUGAG